rnacentral:rRNA from 1 species
CCUACGGGAGGCAGCAGUAGGGAAUCUUCCGCAAUGGGCGAAAGCCUGACGGAGCAACGCCGCGUGAGUGAUGAAGGUCUUCGGAUCGUAAAACUCUGUUAUCAGGGAAGAACAAAUGUGUAAGUAACUGUGCACAUCUUGACGGUACCUGAUCAGAAAGCCACGGCUAACUACGUGCCAGCAGCCGCGGUAAUACGUAGGUGGCAAGCGUUAUCCGGAAUUAUUGGGCGUAAAGCGCGCGUAGGCGGUUUUUUAAGUCUGAUGUGAAAGCCCACGGCUCAACCGUGGAGGGUCAUUGGAAACUGGAAAACUUGAGUGCAGAAGAGGAAAGUGGAAUUCCAUGUGUAGCGGUGAAAUGCGCAGAGAUAUGGAGGAACACCAGUGGCGAAGGCGACUUUCUGGUCUGUAACUGACGCUGAUGUGCGAAAGCGUGGGGAUCAAACAGGAUUAGAUACCCUGGUAGUCCACGCCGUAAACGAUGAGUGCUAAGUGUUAGGGGGUUUUCCGGUCCCCGUUAGUGCUGCGNGCGUACGCGAUUAAGACGACUCCGUCCGUCGGGGUAGGGUUACGGACCGCCGAGGUUAGGUAACGUUACGAAGUUAGAGUUAGUUACGGCGUUGGAGGACGUUCGCCGACGGACGACCGACGAGGGGAGGUAGG